GGUUAGUUUAACUGGAUAUCUUUAUGUAUUCAAAUUCAAAUUAUUAUUUACUAAAUUUGAUAUUUUAAAUUGAAGUGGAUCAUAAUUGAUAGGUUUUAUUGUGAGAGACAAUAAAUUUGACGAAAAUGGGUUAGACAGAGAUGAGAAUUGAUGAACCAUUAUGAGAUACAGAGAGCCAAUGAUGGGGUCAGAAGUAUGCUUACCACUGAUAUAUUCAGAGCUAUUAGAGAAGUACAUGAAUUUUGUGCUGAAAGAAGGGCAUUAAUUACAAAACAAAUUGAAAGAAGAUUAUUUGUUGCUAUGACAAUGUUCAAACCAAACCAAAUUAAACCAAGCCUUUAGUCCCAUUGCUAUGACAAUGUCAUUGCAAAAAAUUGUGAAACAUGCAAUUAUAACUCUUAAACAUGGGUUUGUUGAGUUUUUUUGGUAUUGUUCAAAUUGAAACCGUAAAAUCAUCUGAUUCAAUAAUAUUAUAUUAAGCUAUUCAUGCA